rnacentral:lncRNA from 1 species
GCCCCCAGCUUUGGCUCCUUAGGGGUCAGGUGGGCGGCCCCCGGCUUUGGCUGCUUAGGGGUCAGGUGGGCGGCCCCCGGCUUUGGCUCCUUAGGGGCCAGGUGGGCGGCCCCCGGCUUUGGCUCCGUAGGGGCCAGGUGGGCGGCCCCCGGCUUUGGCUCCUUAGGGGUCAGGUGGGCGGCCCCCGGCUUUGGCUCCUUAGGGGCCAGGUGGGCGGCCCCCGGCUUUGGCUCCUUAGGGGUCAGGUGGGCGACCCCCGGCUAUGGCUCCUUAGGGGUCAGGUGGGCGGCCCCCGGCUUUGGCUCCUUAGGGGCCAGCUGGGCGGCCCCCGGCUUUGGCUCCUUAGGGGUCAGGUGGGCGGCCCUCGGCUUUGGCUCCUUAGGGGCCAGGUGGGCGGCCCCCGGCUUUGGCUCCUUAGGGGUCAGGUGGGCGACCCCCGGCUUUGGCUCCUUAGGGGUCAGGUGGGUGGCCCCGGCUCUGGCUCCUUAGGGGUCAGGUGGGCGGCCCCCGGCUUUGGCUCCUUAGGGGCCAGGUGGGCGGCCCCCGGCUUUGGCUCCUUAGGGGUCAGGUGGGGCGACCCCCGGCUUUGGCUCCUUAGGGGUCAUGUGGGCGGCCCCCGGCUUUGGCUCCUUAGGUGUCAGGUGGGCGGCCCCCGGCUUUGGCUCCUUAGGGGCCAGGUGGGCGGCCCCCGGCUUUGGCUCCUUAGGGGUCAGGUGGGCGGCCCCCGGCUUUGGCUCCUUAGGGGCCAGGUGGGCGGCCCCCGGCUUUGGCUCCUUAGGGGUCAGUUGGGCGACCCCCGGCUUUGGCUCCUUAGGGGCCAGGUGGGCGGCCCCCGGCUUUGGCUCCUUAGGGGUCAGUUGGGCGACCCCCGGCUUUGGCUCCUUAGGGGUCAGGUGGGCGGCCCCCGGCUUGGCUCCUUAGGGGCCAGGUGGGCGGCUCUCGGCUUUGACUCCUUAGGAGCCAGGUGGGCGGUCUCGGCUUUGGCUCCUUAGGCGCCAGGUGGGCGGUUCUCGGCUUUGACUCCUUAGGGGCCAGGUGGGCAGCCCCGGGGGAUUGGGCAUUUGGACGUCGUCAGGGGGACACCGCGAGGGUUGAGUUGCAGGUGGGUCAUCUCCGGAGUUUUUUCUCCCAAAGAAUAUCGAAUGACAUUGCUGUAAUUCGUACCCCGUUGCCCGAGGUCAAUGAUUCGCCUUCAAAUGCCCGGGUAUGCAAAAGGACUGCCGUGACGCACAAAUAGUGGUAUCAGAAUUUUGCAUUAAGUUUACGGAAUGAUUUGAAGGCGCUCUUCUGUAUUCAUUGUGAGUGGCUUUGUACAAUGAUGUUGACCAAAAAGUUUAUAAUUUUGGGUUUUAGCCUGGUUUUAGUCGAG